AAUAGCUCGCCAAAGGACCGUACAGUGAGAGCCAGCAGGAACAGUUCCCGCUCGAGGACUGAUAUUAGGAGGGAAGGGAUGAGAUUUAGUCGCUCCAAAUCACCUGAGGGCGCAUCCCUGUCCUUCAAUGGCUCGCCAAAGGACCGUACAGUGAGAACGAGCAGGAACAGAUCCCGCUCAGGAGCUGGUGAAAGGAGUGAUGAUAGUUGUUGUUUUAACUCGAAGUCACCUGAAAGCGCUGGCCUGUCUAAAAAUGGGCCACGUCAAAAGAAAGACAGGAAGACUGAGUUGGAAUUUUUGAAGAGUUGUUUCGUAGCUCUCAAACUCAAAAAUCAUCCUCAUCAGGUAAGAGUUCUGGAACAAAAAGGGACGAGUUUCCCUUACGAUCAGCUGAGAGCCCGAUAGAGAAACGCUGUUCUUCCCCUGAAAGUGCCCAAAAAGGAUCUGUAGGCGCAACCAAGAACAUAUCUCCCUCAAGAGCAGCCGAGAGCACACCUGAUAUGAUUGAUACAAA